AUAAAAGACGUUCAUUUUUCUGUAGCAGCUACAGUGAUGAGCAGAGAGAAGUGACUGGAAAGGUCAGACCGGGCCUCCACCUACUCAGCUCAUAAACCAGGGGAGCAACCGAGCCCUGAGACCUUGGGAGGAGAGCAGAUGCUCUGCUGUUCUGAGACUGCAGAGCCAGAGGCAAGAUCAGACCACCCUGGGGGAUGACUCCUCCUGCACCGGGUCCCUGGCCCCCUGGCUGAGCUUUCUGAACAGGGCAGGCUAAGAGGAGCUGUGGCUCUAGAGUUCAAGGGCCAGGUGCCUUAGAAAGGCAGGAUAGGGUUGUGGUCAAGAGAAUGGGCUCUGAUGUCAGAAUGACAUCAGUUCAAAUACAGAAUGGCUGUCAUUCUAACUUGAGGUGGCAUCAUUGAGGCUGAAACCCACUGAUACUACAAAAGGAGGCCAGCCACAUGAAGAAGGAGCCAAUGUUUCCCCAUACUAAGAGAAGCUUCACUGAAGCCCACCAAGCAGUCCAGGAUGAAGGUGAAGAGAGUGAGGAACUCACCUGGGGCACAAGAUUUCAGGGGGCGCCACGAGCAGGAUCAUACAGGGUGAGUGUCAGCCAUCCUUCCCUUUGCCUCUGGCUCUCCUGCAGCUCAGCACUGUGCUGCUCCUGAUCUCGUCUUUCACUUUUUGAUAGUUUAUUCAUUGCAGACUUUUUUUGCAUGAAUUUUGAUUUUUUUUUUAAAUAAUGAAAGUGGGGACUUAGAUAUCUGUAUAUCCGUGUUCUUAGCAGCAUUAUCCACAAUAGCCAAAGAAUAGAAAACAACCCAGGCGUCCACUGAUGGAUGAGGGGAUAUAUGGAGUGUGGCAUAUCCAUAAUGGAAUUGUAUUCAGCCUUUAAAAGGGGAGGAGAUUCUGACAUGUGCUGCAGCACGGAAGAAUCGUCAGGAUAUUUUGCUAAGUGAAAUGAGCCGGUCACAAAAAAUGAAGUGCUGCAUGAUUCCACUUACAUGAAGUACUUAGAGUAGUCAAAUUUAGAGAGACAGAAGGUAGUGUUAUCCCUGGGGCUGGGGAGAGCGGGGACUGGGAGGUCAGUGUUUAGAGGAUACUGGCUUUCAUCUGGGGAAGAGGAGAACAUUCUACAGAUGGAUGAAGGUGAUGCUUGCUCAACAGUGUGACUAUACUUAAUGCCACUGAACUGAACACAUAAAAUAGUUAAAAUGGUAAAUUUUUUAUAUUUUACUACAAUAAAAAUACUGCAUUAAUAUAAUUGUUGAGUGUG
rnacentral:lncRNA from 1 species